GCCAGGAGCCAGGGAAUGGCUGCCAGGGGCAGAGGGCAGGGCUGGAUCUUGGGAUCUGGGGCAGGAAUUGUUCCCUGGCAGGGUGGGCAGGGGCUGGGAUGGAAUUGCCAGAGCAGCUGGGGCUGUCCCUGGAUCCCUGGCAGUGCCCAAGGCCAGGCUGGACAUUGGGAGCUCCUGGGACAGUGGGAGGUGUCCCUGCCAUGGCUGGGCUGGGAAUGGGUGGGAUUUGGGGUCCCUUCCAUCCCAAACCUUUUGUGAUUCCAUCAUUUUAUGAGUCAAAGAGAGCGAACAGAACAAUUUCUAACUUGAGAACAAAAGGCAGAACUUGUUGCUGAAUGCUCUCUUCUCCAGGCACUGCUCAGGAGGGACAGAAAGGGGAUCAAGGCCUGGAAAGGCUCCCAGGGACAUUUAACAGCUGAGUGGGAGUGAGAGAACAGAUCUGCAGGAAAAGCACGGCCAGGAAUGGGAGAGGUGUCCAGGAAUGAGUGAGGUGUCCAGUCCCGAUGGAUGUUCCCAAACAAACACCAAAUCCUGGCUGUGCUGGGUCCUGGGGUCACUACUGAGGGACCCGAAUUCCAGGAUGGGAGCUGCAUCCUCAGCCUCGUGUCAGGAAGGUGCUGCAGGAGAGCUCCAGCCCCAGCAGCAGCAGAUGCUGGGAAAGCAAACCGGACAAAGGGAAGGUAGGAUUCCUUCCCAGGGGUGGUUCUGCUUUGUCCCUGGCAGUGAAAAAGUUAAAACUCAUAGGGUUAUUCAUGAAUUCCGCUUUUUAAAAACAUGUCCCAUUAAAAUGCAGAUUUAGGCUUCCAUUUGCAAAGAACAUCGUUAUUUCCAAUUCUGUAUGGGAAUCCUUUUUGUAUUUGUAUCUUUUGGGGAGAAAGUCCAGCUGCCUCUUGUGAGAUUGCACAUAUCUCUUCAGAUGUCAACAAAUCAUUGAAAAGUGUCAGAAAGGGGGAAAUGAAAGAUAAUUAUUCAAACCAUGGAGAGCUGCUUUGAAAGUGAAUAGGAUCUGUCAGAUAGGCUUUGAGAACAGCAGUUGGCUGCUUGCAUGGGAUAUAUUAAAUGGACAUAUCCAGAGGCAAGGGAUGCUGUUUUAGAUUCAGAUCAGUGGAAGCUAGAGGAUUUUUUGGGUGGAAGAAGCUGAAACCACCAGGAAUUACUGAGGGGAAAUCAGAUUUUUUUUGGUGGAAGGAGCUGAAAGCACCAGGAAUUUUGGAGGGGAGAUCAGCUGGGAAAGGGUUUUAUAGAGUUGGGGUGAGAUGUUAAAGGGAAGAGAAAUGGCUGUAAAUAAAGGCAAGGAAAAUGGAGAUUUUUGUCA
rnacentral:lncRNA from 1 species